GCGGGGCUGCUCUGUGGGACCUGCGCUCGCCCGUUCGUUCCUGCCGGUCGUGGCUUUAUGCGGCUACGAGUCUUCGUGCAGCCGCAUAACGAACCGGAAUGGACGCCUCUUCUAGAGUAAAAAAUACUCGUUUCCUCAGGAACUGGCUGCUCCUGGUUCGUGCGUGGGGUAAGAGGCUCAGAGACGUCCUGACAUCACCAUGACCACGAUUUCACCAGACUGACGCACUGUGAGGUUGUUACCGUCUGAAAUCUCUACUCCUGGAAAGAGAAUUCUCUGUUUGAGAUGAAUAAUAGGUUGAAUAUGGUAUGUGACAGCUCUGUAGACUCUGAAGAUAUAACAUGAACAAAUAUAUUGUUCUGGAAAGCUGGCGUAGGAACGCUACUGAGGAUUUAGAAGGAUCUCGACUACCAGACAGGGAAUCAUUCAGAAGACUUUGAUCUAGGAUGACACUUCACUCCUACAAACCUGCCAGCAAGUCAUGGCAGUCUCCCCCUGAGUCAAGCUCGUGCCGUGCUCCGCUGCUGCCUGUCUCCUCAGCAUCCUGAGUAGCCUCGUCAGUGCCUGCCUGUGAGUCAUGCUGUAAAGCACACACCAAGGAAAUCUGUGGCCCCAUCCCCUGGUUCAUGCUACUGGUGACCUGACUUUCAUCCGAGCAGUUUUACAGACGGAGCGUUGUGAAAUCUGACAUUUGUAGCCCUAAAUCUCGGGCCUGUUUGCUGUGUAAAACCUUUCACCCCACAUGCAUUUUUUAUGAAUGGAUUGAAAAACACGAGAAAUCAAACCUGCAGCUCCAAGCCGUGUCGCGGUGCGCGGAGCGGGGCAGUGCCCCUGCCCACGAGGCCGCUCCGGCAUCCCAGGGGCUCUCAUGCAGGGAUGCUUCCAGCUGUGCCGGGCUCGGGUGCAGGCGUGAUGGUGGUAAAACACUGCGGAGAAGCACCGCACCGGCGGGUCUGUGGGCCACUGGAGGGAUGCAGGUGGCAUGAUGCCCUGGGCACGGUGCUGGGGAGCAGGAUGAGAGCCUGGAUGUGCUGGGGAUCCCAAGACCGAUCAGCUACAGCUGGAGACAGCCCAGGAACGGCACACCUGAACCUUGUGUUGGGAAGGUGCCAUAAAUAAGGCAGUUUCUGGAGCCCUUCAUGGCAAUCAUUCUCGGUUCUGUUGUUUUAGGGCGGUGAUUGCCACUUUGGAUGGU